GCCAGACUCCUACGGGAGGCAGCAGUGGGGAAUAUUGCACAAUGGGGGAAACCCUGAUGCAGCAACGCCGCGUGAGUGAAGAAGUAUUUCGGUAUGUAAAGCUCUAUCAGCAGGGAAGAAGAAGGACGGUACCUGACUAAGAAGCCCCGGCUAACUACGUGCCGGCAGCCGCGGUAAUACGUAGGGGGCGAGCGUUAUCCGGAUUUACUGGGUGUAAAGGGAGCGUAGACGGUUAAUCAAGUCUGAAGUGAAAGCCCGCGGCUCAACUGCGGAACGGCUUUGGAAACUGAGUAACUGGAGUGCUGGAGGGGCAGGCGGAAUUCCUGGUGUAGCGGUGAAAUGCGUAGAUAUCAGGAGGAACACCGGUGGCGAAGGCGGCCUGCUGGACAGUAACUGACGUUGAGGCUCGAAAGCGUGGGGAGCAAACAGGAUUAGAUACCCCAGUA
rnacentral:rRNA from 1 species